CGGCAACAGCUCAAAUUUGAAAUCUGGCCCCCCGGGGCCCGAGUUGUAAUUUGCAGAGGAUGCUUCUGGCGCGGCGCCUUCCGAGUUCCCUGGAACGGGACGCCAUAGAGGGUGAGAGCCCCGUACGGUUGGAUGCCUAGCCUCUGUGAAACUCCUUCGAC
rnacentral:rRNA from 1 species